AUUUUACUUCCUCCGUCCGGAAAUACUUGUCAUCAAGAUGAAUAAAAGGGAUGUAUCGAGAUGUAUUUUAGUUCUAGAUGCAUCCAUUUUUAUCCAUUUUGAUGACAAGUAUUUUCGGACGGAGGGAGUACUUU
rfam:Triticum aestivum genome assembly, contig: Triticum_aestivum_CS42_TGACv1_scaffold_160778_2DL